AGGGCCGAGGGCGCGGCGCGUGCGCUCCUCGGAGUGACGUCACUGCCGCUCGCCGAGCGGUGGGCGGGCUGGGGACUAGAAUGGAAGGAGAUUUUGGAGAUGAGGUUUGGAAGUAUGGGUGCUUGGCUGGAUUCUAAGAUCAGCACGGAUCUGAGGCGGCCUCACGCUGCUCAUCUGUUCUCCAUCUUUAGUCUCCGCCAUUCAGAGCCUGUGUUCAUGCACCUGAGGAAGAAACCCGGAACCCAGAGCUCUGGUCUCCAUAUGGAAAGCUGGCGAGGCCACGGAGUCCUGGCCCAGUAGGACAGGGAACCGAGACAUCUCUAACUUUAUCACUGAACCCUACCUUCUAAAGAUGUUCUCAGAUGGAUCCUUAAUAAAAUAGAAGAGUUCACACGCAAAAAUCUAUAAAAUAGUUCACCCAUGUUCAAA